rnacentral:antisense_RNA from 1 species
CUUCACCGAGCCCAGCCACAGCGGCCGGUCGUCCGGCCGGUUCUGGCCGUAGGUGGCGAUGAGCGCCUCGGCCUC